rnacentral:rRNA from 1 species
AUUGAACGCUGGCGGCAUGCUUUACACAUGCAAGUCGAACGGUAACAGGCCGCAAGGUGCUGACGAGUGGCGAACGGGUGAGUAAUGUAUCGGAACGUGCCCAGUCGUGGGGGAUAACGCAGCGAAAGCUGCGCUAAUACCGCAUACGAUCUAUGGAUGAAAGCGGGGGACCGUAAGGCCUCGCGCGAUUGGAGCGGCCGAUAUCAGAUUAGGUAGUUGGUGGGGUAAAGGCUCACCGAGCCAACGAUCUGUAGCUGGUCUGAGAGGACGACCAGCCACACUGGGACUGAGACACGACCCAGACUCCUACGGGAGGCAGCAGUGGGGAAUUUUGGACAACGGGCGCAAGCCUGAUCCAGCAAUGCCGCGUGCAGGAAGAAGGCCUUCGGGUUGUAAACUGCUUUUGUACGGAACGAAACGGUCUGGGUUAAUACCUCGGGCUAAUGACGGUACCGUAAGAAUAAGCACCGGCUAACUACGUGCCAGCCGCCGCGGUAA